CGUGAAACUGUUAUCUCUACAAUCACGCGACUGUGUAAUCCCGCGGGAGAGAGUGAGCUACCGAAGCCGAUUGCGAACCGAUAUAGGCGUGGGGCGCACUAACAUCGACAUCAGUUACCAGUUGAAAGUCAAGCAGACCGGUUCUUCGUUCUGGAGGCCCACGAGACUCGUCCGGAGAAGUGUGCAAAUUAGGAGUCUGACUGGUAGCGUGGCUGGCCUAAGAAGGCCAAUACUUGAUCUGCGGGACUGUGUUUAACAGCCACGAGGCCACAGUGGGCAGUGAUAGUCGCAACAUCGAACGCGGUUUGCACCGCAUGUGCAGGGAGAACAACUACUGCCUGUGUGUAACUACAAUGGAGCUUGUCGAGUAGAUUGAAUCGACACAGGAGAUCGGCCUUCUAUUCUAUCCAUAUUCAACUCUAAUUUCACCAUGUCGGCUGGAGCCGUGAUGCUGUGGAACGUGUCGUGGUUGGCGUCCUGCCACGGUAAUACGGCGUGGAACGCUGGGGAUGACCGGUGUUGGGCACUGGUCACCGUCGCGGAUUUUGCCCGGGCAGUUCAUCGAAGAAGCCGCAGCCGCCGUGGGAUACACGUCACACACACACACGCCCCACACCUAGAUUAGGCCCGCCAACUAGUUCAUAAGGACGUCACCUAGUUGUAAGAUCAUCGCAAUAGAUGUAAGUAAACGCAAA